CAGUAACACGUGGCUAAUCUGCCCUUGGGACCGGAACACCCCCGGGAAACUGGGGCUAAUUCUCGAUAGGUGAAGAACUCUGGAAUGAGUCUUCGCCAAAAAGACGCUUACGUUAUGCUCGUAGGCGCCGCCCAAGGAUGAGGCCGCGACCGAUCAGGUUGUUGGUGAGGUAAUGGCUCACCAAGCCUUUUACCGGUGCGGGCCGUGAGAGCGGGAGCCCGGAGAUGGGCACUGAGACAAGGGCCCAGGUCCUACGGGGCGCAGCAGUCGCGAAAACUUUGCAAUACACGAAAGUGUGACAGGGCUAUCCCGAGUGCCAUCCGCUGAGGAAGGCUUUUAUCCAGUCUAGAACGCUGGGAGAAUAAGGAGAGGGCAAGUCUGGUGUCAGCCGCCGCGGUAAUACCAGCCCUCCGAGUGGUGUGGAUGUUUAUUGGGCCUAAAGCAUCCGUAGCUGGCUGAGUUAGUCCCUUGUUAAAUCCACCGAAUUAAUCGUUGGAUUGCGGGGGAUACUGCUCGGCUAGGGGACGAGAGAGGCAGACGGUAUUUCCGGGGUAGGGGUGAAAUCCUAUAAUCCCGGGAAGACCACCAGUGGCGAAGGCUGUCUGCUAGAACGCGCCCGACGGUGAGGGAUGAAAGCUGGGGGAGCGAACCGGAUUAGAUACCCGGGUAGUCCCAGCUGUAAACGAUGCAGGCUAGGUGUUUGGACGGCCACGUGCCGUUCUAGUGCCGCAGGGAAGCUUUGUAUCCUCCCGCC
rnacentral:rRNA from 1 species